GGAUGCUACCGGGCGACCGGAUGCGGAUCUCGAAAGCCUGUCCCAGUUCGGACUGGAGUCUGCAACCCGACUCCACGAAGUUGGAUUCGCUAGUAAUCGCGCAUCAGCCAUGGCGCGGUGAAUACGUUCCCGGGCCUUGUACACACCGCCCGUCAAGCCAUGGGAGCCGGGGGCGCCUGAAGUCCGGGACCGCGAGGACCGGCCUAGGGCGAAACUGGUAACUGGGGCUAAGUCGUAACAAGGUAUC
rnacentral:rRNA from 1 species